rnacentral:rRNA from 1 species
UACGUAGGCAGCAAGCGUUGUUCGGAGUUACUGGGCGUAAAGGGUGUGUAGGCGGUUCUUUUAAGUUUGGUGUGAAAUCUCCCGGCUCAACCGGGAGGGUGCGCCGAAAACUGAAGGGCUAGAGUGCGGGAGAGGAGAGUGGAAUUCCUGGUGUAGCGGUGAAAUGCGUAGAUAUCAGGAGGAACACCGGUGGUGUAGACGGCUCACUGGACCGUAACUGACGCUGAGACACGAAAGCGUGGGUAGCAAACAGG